rnacentral:misc_RNA from 1 species
AAGGAUCAUUAAUGAAUGAACUUGAUCGGUUGUUGCUGGCUUCCAGGAGCAUGUGCACGCCUAUCAUCUUUAUCCAUCCACCUGUGCACCUUUUGUAGUCUUGGAGGUAAUGAGCGUGAUGCAGCCAGGGAUCGACCACUUGGCUGACCCUUGAUGCUGGCGCGAGUUUCUCUGGGUCUAUGUCUUUCAUAUACCAUGUAAAAUGUAUUAGAAAGUUUUUAAUGGGUCUCAGUGCCUAUAAAACACAAUACAACUUUCAGCAACGGAUCUCUUGGCUCUC